CAGUCGCCGCGGUAACACAGAGGAUGCAAGCGUUAUCCGGAAUGAUUGGGCGUAAAGCGCGCGCAGGUGGUUCAAUAAGUCUGAUGCGAAAGCCCACGGCUCAACCGUGGAGGGUCAUUGGAAACUGUUAAACUUGAGUGCAGGAGAGAAAAGUGGAAUUCCUAGUGUAGCGGUGAAAUGCGUAGAGAUUAGGAGGAACACCAGUGGCGAAGGCGGCUUUUUGGCCUGUAACUGACACUGAGGCGCGAAAGCGUGGGGAGCAAACAGGAUUAGAUACCCGUGUAGUCCCUGUCUCUUAUAC
rnacentral:rRNA from 1 species